rnacentral:rRNA from 1 species
ACGCUCGACACCUACGGGAAGCAGCAGUGGGGAAUAUUGCACAAUGGGGGAAACCCUGAUGCAGCGACGCCGCGUGGAGGAAGAAGGUCUUCGGAUUGUAAACUCCUGUUGUUGGGGAAAAAGAGGAUGGUACCCAACAAGGAAGUGACGGCUAACUACGUGCCAGCAGCCACGGUAAUCUGAGCGGGCUGGCAAGGC